AGGACGAACGCUGGCGGCGUGCUUAACACAUGCAAGUCGAACGAUGAUCCGGUUUCGGCCGGGGAUUAGUGGCGAACGGGUGAGUAACACGUGGGCAACCUGCCCUCCACUCUGGGAUAACUCCGGGAAACCGGGGCUAAUACUGGAUAUGAUCUUCGGGCGCAUGCCUGGGGGUGGAAAGUUUUUCGGUGGAGGAUGGGCCCGCGGCCUAUCAGCUUGUUGGUGGGGUGAUGGCCUACCAAGGCGGUGACGGGUA
rnacentral:rRNA from 1 species